GUGAGGAAUAUUGGUCAAUGGACGAGAGUCUGAACCAGCCAAGUAGCGUGAAGGAUGACUGCCCUAUGGGUUGUAAACUUCUUUUAUACGGGAAUAAAGUGAGGCACGUGUGCCUUUUUGUAUGUACCGUAUGAAUAAGGAUCGGCUAACUCCGUGCCAGCAGCCGCGGUAAUACGGAGGAUCCGAGCGUUAUCCGGAUUUAUUGGGUUUAAAGGGAGCGUAGGCGUACGCUUAAGUCAGUUGUGAAAGUUUGCGGCUCAACCGUAAAAUUGCAGUUGAUACUGGGUGUCUUGAGUACAGUAGAGGCAGGCGGAAUUCGUGGUGUAGCGGUGAAAUGCUUAGAUAUCACGAAGAACUCCGAUUGCGAAGGCAGCUUGCUGGACUGUAACUGACGCUGAUGCUCGAAAGUGUGGGUAUCAAACAGGAUUAGAUACCCUUGUAGUCC
rnacentral:rRNA from 1 species